rnacentral:rRNA from 1 species
UCGGGAAUUUUGGGCAAUGGGCGAAAGCCUGACCCAGCAACGCCGCGUGAAGGAUGAAGUAUUUCGGUAUGUAAACUUCGUAAGAAUAGGAAGAAUAAAUGACGGUACUAUUUGUAAGGUCCGGCUAACUACGUGCCAGCAGCCGCGGUAAUACGUAGGGACCAAGCGUUGUUCGGAUUUACUGGGCGUAAAGGGCGCGUAGGCGGCAAUUCAAGUCAUCUGUGAAAUCUCCGGGCUUAACUCGGAACGGUCAGAUGAUACUGCUUUGCUAGAGUGCAGAAGGGGCAAUCGGAAUUCUUGGUGUAGCGGUGAAAUGCGUAGAUAUCAAGAGGAACACCUGAGGUGAAGACGGGUUGCUGGGCUGACACUGACGCUGAGGCGCGAAAGCCAGGGGAGCAAACGGGAUUAGAUACCCCAGUAGUCCCUGAGCGGGCUGGCAAGGCGCAU